rnacentral:rRNA from 1 species
AGUGGCGAACGGGUGAGUAAUGCGUGACCGACCUGCCCCAUACACCGGAAUAGCUUCUGGAAACGGGUGGUAAUGCCGGAUGCUCCAGUUGAUCGCAUGGUCUUCUGGGAAAGCUUUCGCGGUAUGGGAUGGGGUCGCGUCCUAUCAGCUUGACGGCGGGGUAACGGCCCACCGUGGCUUCGACGGGUAGCCGGCCUGAGAGGGCGACCGGCCACAUUGGGACUGAGAUACGGCCCAGACUCCUACGGGAGGCAGCAUG